rnacentral:rRNA from 1 species
UACGUAGGGGGCGAGCGUUAAUCGGAAUUACUGGGCGUAAAGGGUGCGCAGGCGGCCGCGCAAGUCGGGUGUGAAAUCCCCGAGCUUAACUUGGGAAUUGCGCUCGAAACUACGUGGCUGGAGUGUGGCAGAGGAAGGUGGAAUUCCACGUGUAGCGGUGAAAUGCGUAGAUAUGUGGAGGAACACCGAUGGCGAAGGCAGCCUUCUGGGCCAACACUGACGCUCAUGCACGAAAGCGUGGGGAGCAAACAGG